GCCUCUCUAGCUCAACGGUAGAGCAACGGACUCUUAAUCCGCAGGUUCUGGGUUCGAGACCCAGGGGAGGCACCA
rnacentral:tRNA from 3 species